rnacentral:rRNA from 1 species
GAUGAACGCUAGCUACAGGCUUAACACAUGCAAGUCGAGGGGCGGCAUGGUCUUAGCUUGCUAAGGCCGAUGGCGACCGGCGCACGGGUGAGUAACACGUAUCCAACCUGCCGUCUACUCUUGGACAGCCUUCUGAAAGGAAGAUUAAAACAAGAUGGCAUCAUGAGUCCGCAUGUUCACAUGAUUAAAGGUAUUCCGGUAGACGAUGGGGAUGCGUUCCAUUAGAUAGUAGGCGGGGUAACGGCCCACCUAGUCUUCGAUGGAUAGGGGUUCUGAGAGGAAGGUCCCCCACAUUGGAACUGAGACACGGUCCAAACUCCUACGGGAGGCAGCAGUGAGGAAUAUUGGUCAAUGGGCGCAGGCCUGAACCAGCCAAGUAGCGUGAAGGAUGACUGCCCUAUGGGUUGUAAACUUCUUUUAUAAAGGAAUAAAGUCGGGUAUGUAUACCCGUUUGCAUGUACUUUAUGAAUAAGGAUCGGCUAACUCCGUG